UACAGAGGGGGCAAGCGUUAUUCGGAAUUAUUGGGCGUAAAGGGCGCGUAGGCGGUUCUUCAAGUCUCUCGUGAAAUCCCUCGGCUUAACUGAGGACGUGCGGGAGAUACUGAAGGGCUUGAGUCCGGAAGAGGGUGGUGGAAUUCCAGGUGUAGCGGUGAAAUGCGUAGAUAUCUGGAGGAACACCGGUGGCGAAGGCGGCAUCCUGGACCAACACUGACGCUGAGUGAGCGAAAGCCAGGGGAGCAAACGGG
rnacentral:rRNA from 1 species